CCGCCCGCAGCUGGGAGCGGAGGGAGGGCGCCCGCCUCAGAGGGAUCCUGCCGGGGGGGGAAGUUCAGCUUCUACCAUUCACUGACUGAAUCUGUUUCUAUCUUUAACGAGAAGAACUCCUCACAAAACUAACUUUGAGUUGAACUUGAGAGAAAACACAAAUCAAACCGUCCUCAUCUAGAAGCAAAACCACUGAUAUGAGUGAAGGACCUUCUCAUGUAUAAACACUGGCCUCGUCAGGACCAGUGUACCUCAUGGGGACCAGAGCUCAGUCCUGAAGAGGCUCAACAUCAUCUCUGACAUCCUGGUGAGAUUCUGUCCAGUGGUGACCCAGUGGGGAUCCAGUAAUGGUCCUGGAGUGGAGCCCCAGUAUCGAGGGCCUCACCGAUCACUACUCAGUGUCAGCUGUCAAUCAUGCUGCUCGGCUCGUUUAACAAAUCAAAUACAUGCAAAUGUUUUUAGCUUGGUCCAAGUCCCAUCUGCUUCCAUGGAGGAGGUGGAUUUAUAACUCAUACUUCAGCCAAUAGGGGGCGAUAGAGAUUAACUGGCUUCCCUCCUGGAAGCCGUCAUGCUAUUAAAAGGUUUCUGGAUUUUCAUCUUCUCGUAAACUUUAUACAAAUUCGUGAAGAUGGAAAUAAAAGUUUCACAGCACUUGAGUCACGACAGUAACUGACAAACUAAAUCUGUCAGUUGCUCUCAGGUCAAUAACGUCUGAUUUCCCCUGAACUCAUCGUGUGGUCAGUGUUGACUGAGGUUUCGGUCACUUUGACCCAACGAGGCGGAAAAAUUCAGAGGAACAAAAAAACAAAAAUCAAAACAGCUGUUUUCAUUCAGAACUGAGAUUUAAACCAGAAUAUGUUUAAUUCAAAAAACAAAAAAUGUUGCUCCAGAAUAAAUGAUCUCAACUGAAGAGAUGCAGUUUGUUUAUUAUGCAAAACUAAAAUCUAAUCAGUUUUUAGGUUUUAAACUUUGUCUUGAUGGUGUUGAAGUUUAAGUUAGAAUAGAACUGUUCUUAUGUAUUACUUUUACAUUAUAUAUUAUGAACAAAUUUGAACGCUGCUCUUGCAAUGCAUUGUGGGAUUAGAAAAGUCAUUUAGUGGAUAACAUGGUGAGGGUAAAGUGCUUUUAUUUAUUUACCAUGUAUGAAUUUGGAUAUUUAUUAUAUUUUAUGGAUGUUACUUAACACUAAACACUCAGGAGCCACAACUUUAAGAAAACAGACAAACUACUGACGAUGAUUGGUUCAUUUAUUUCAGUAAACAAAAACAACGUCCAAACUUCCUUUCUAAACGCUAACUGUGCUAACGUUAGCCCAGCUGGCCUCAAGCAGAGUGCUGCGACUGUGGCUAAUGUUAGCAUCAGAAACAAUCUGUACCAACUUAUCCACUGUUAGCGUUCAGUCCAGCUAGCAUUAGCAGUGCAUCCACAGUGAGUUUAAUGACAGAGGAAAAAAAGACCAGCGGAGCGUUUCUUUGAUUUGAACGACAAAGAUAAAUAACAAAACCGAU